UUCAGAAUGUAGUGGGCCUUUAGUACUUAGAACAUCUUCUUCUUCCCUGAGAUGCCUUAUAAAUAUUCAAAAUUGUUGAAUUUAAGAUAACUUUUCUGGAAAACAAACCCCAUUAAACAAACUUUUAAUAUCUUUGCAGGAAUGAAAUUAAAAAUUGCUGGAAGAAGGGACUUUUCAAGUAGAAGGCAUAAUGAAACAUUAACUUCCUAAUCACCUGGAGCCAUGGAUUAGAGACAUGAACUACUUUAUUUCUGCAUGAAUGAAAUUAAAAAUUGCUGGAAGAAGGGACUUUUCAAGUAGAAGGCAUAAUGAACCAUGAACUUCCCAAUCACCUGGAGCCAUGGAUUAGAGACAUGAACUACUUUAUUUCUGCAUGUAUG